GUAAGAGAAAGACAUGGAAUUGAGCUGGUAGGAUGAAGAGCAGGACCUGCCACAGUGGGAAGAUAGACGAGCCAAUGCAAUGAGGACCCAGAAGCAUGGACUAUGUUAGACUGGGAGAUCAGGACAGCCUGCAGAGAGUGGCAUCUUGAGAAGAACCUUGGAGGAUGAGUGAGAUAUUGAAGAAUGUUUAGUUAAAAUGGGAACUUUUAGCUUGAGUCAGUAAGAGCAAAGGCUUCAAGUCAUGAAAAGCCACAUUGGCAAAUAUGCAGAGUAGCUGAGCUUCUGGUGUCUUCUGAGCUCAGGGUCCAGCACAGCAUAGCUGGGAACACCGUCCACCACGGGAUGAAGCUGAGGAGGAAGGUUGAAGAUUUUUCCUGGUUAUCUGUGAGUGGAAAUUAUGAUUGUUGUAAAGAAGUAACAACUUUGGAAACAUGGAGGAUGUCACACAGACGUAUUUUGGAACAUUACUGUCCCUCCAACCCCAAUAAUUGAGUCAUCAUCAACAUCAUUAUCACCAAUAUCUUCAAAACCUUCAACAAAACUUUAACAAAUUCCUGGUCACAAUCUUCAGUAUUCUCUCCCAGGUGCAGCAGAAGAGGAUUAAGGAAGAAAAGAACAAGUCAAAGUCAGAGAGGAAGUAAAGGACAGAAUACAGGUCCACAGUGACUACUGGUUUACUAACCUUGUUUCCCAUGCUAUUGGAGUAGCCAAAAAACUAGGAACUGAGCAACAUGGACUGUACUUAUACUCACUCUGAUGGUCUGGGGUUUCCCCUAUAGGUUAUAUAUGAUUGAUGCAUACAUUUAGUUUUUUGAGACAGGGUCUCACUAUGUAGUCCAGGCUGGCCUUAAACUCACAACCAUCUUCCUCUUGCCUCAGCCUCCCCAGUUCUGGGAUUACAGGAGUGUGCCACGAUGCCUGGCUUAUUAUGUAUAUUUAUAGAGAAGCAAAAGUUCAUUGGAGGUGAUCUGGUUCCUGAGCCAUCUCCUUCUUGUUCAACUGCAACCAUUACACUCAUUCUGUGGAAGUUUUACUUUUUCAUUUGUGCUGAUACUCUGGGCUCUAUUCCUGUUGUGAGGCAUUUAUUGCAGUGCCACUUCUUCAAUGUAUAGGCAAACAAACUGGGAGCUAGAGAUAUUAAACAAUUUACCCAAAUCUAC
rnacentral:lncRNA from 1 species